AAAUUUUAAACUGAUAAGAAUAGAAAUAUAGGAAAAGGGAGGAAUAAUGGAAAACGACGUACACGAAGGAAGUGGAUGUCGCGAUACAGACACUCGGCAGCAGGGGCGGAUCUACAGUGUAAUGAGGUGGGGCACGUGCCCCACACUCAUUAAUAAAUACUUUCAAUUGACCAGCUUUCAAUAAUGUCUGCGUAGCAUAGUUGGUAGUAAGUGCCCCAUAUCAAAUCUUGAGACCAAGGUUCGAUAUCACAAAUCUAUUUUUUUCCCCUUUAUUUUGUUUUUUCUUCUCAGUUAUUUUAUUAUUAAAUUUUAUUUAUUAAUAUAUUUAAUUAGUGCCCCAUACAACUUUUUCUUCU
rnacentral:lncRNA from 1 species